GACGUAGGGCGCGAGCGUUGUCCGGAUUUAUUGGGCGUAAAGAGCUCGUAGGCGGCUUGUCGCGUCGUCCGUGAAAACCUGGGGCUCAACCCCAGGCUUGCGGUCGAUACGGGCAGGCUCGAGUUCGGUAGGGGAGACUGGAAUUCCUGGUGUAGCGGUGAAAUGCGCAGAUAUCAGGAGGAACACCGGUGGCGAAGGCGGGUCUCUGGGCCGAUACUGACGCCGAGGAGCGAAAGCGUGGGGAGCGAACCGG
rnacentral:rRNA from 1 species